rnacentral:rRNA from 1 species
CCUGCCAGUAAUCAUAUGCUUGUCUUAAAGAUUAAGCCAUGCAUGUCUAAGUAUAAGCAAUUGUACUGCGAGACUGCGGAUGGCUCAUUAAAUCAGUUAUUAUUUACGCGGUCUUCUCCAGUUACUUGGAUAACUGUAGUAAUUCUAGAGCUAAUACAUGCCACCGGCCCUUUGGGCCAGCAUUUGCGGUAAACCAAACCAACCGGGAAACCGAACGGGGCGAUUCACUGCAACUAUAAGCUCUGAGCUUCUGCAGAUCGCACACGGGUAACGGAGAACUAGGGUUCGGUUCCGGAGAGGGAGCCUGAGAGAUGGCUACCACUUCCAAGGAAGGCAGCAGGCGCGCAAAUUACCCAAUAGCGACACGCUGAGGUAGUGACAAUAAAUAACAAUACGGGUGUCACAUUGGCAUUCGUAAUUGGAAUGAGAACAAUUUAAAUCCCUUAACGAGGAACCAUUGGAGGACAAGUCUGGUGCCAGCACCCGCGGUAAUUCCAGCUCCAAUAGCGUAUAUUAAAGUUGUUGCAGUUAAAACGCUCGUAGUCGAAUCUCGAAGCCGGCCAAAUCGGUCCAUCCGGGAAGGAUGGUACUGUUUGCUCAGCUUCCAAUCUCGUCCCUCUCUGCUGUUCUUAACUGGAUGGCGGCUGGGGACGAGGAAUUUACUUUGAAAAAAUUAGAGUGUUCAAGGCAGGCGUUACCCGCCCUGAAUAGCGCAUCUUGGGAUAAUGGAAUAGGGCGGCAGCCCUAUUUCGUUGGUUUAAAGCGCUGUCGCAAUGAUUAAUAGAAAUAGUCGGGGCUAUUCAUAUUUAGUCGUCAGAGGUGAAAUUCUUGGAUUGACGAAAGAUGAACUGCAGCGAAAGCGUUUAGCAUGGACGUUUUCAUUGAUCAAGAACGAAAGUCGGGGGAUCGAAGACGAUCAGAUACCGUCGUAGUCUCGACUGUAAACUUUGCCGACCAAGGAUUGAACGAUGUUACUUGGAUGACUCCUCCAGAACUUUGAGAGAAAUCACAAGUCUUUGGGUUCCGGGGGGAGUAUGGUCGCAAGGCUGAAACUUAAAGGAAUUGACGGAAGGGCACCACCAGGAGUGGAGCCUG